CUUCUCUCGGCCUCAGGCUCCCUCUGGGGCUCCUGUGGAUGAAGAAAGAGGAAGGGGCAGAGGCAGGGUGGGUGGGCAGAGGGGACGCCAGUGGCCAGCCAUGCCCUCUGCCAGGGCCUGCAGGACGCAGGGCUUGGCCCUGCCUUCCGGCCAGCUUUGCUCUGGACUUGUGGGGGCUCUGCUGUGGGUGGAGAAGGUUCUGGAAGAGCCCCCUGGGCCCAAGCCCACAGGAGCAGCACUUCCCUGCAGGGCCUGGUCUGUGCAGCUGACAAGUCCAUGCACAGACUCCAUAGAGAUGCCUACACUCAUUUUGAUUUUAUUUAUGCCAAAAGGAAAAGGAAACCAGCCCAGGAAGCCAGCCAGCCCUGAGUCACAGGCUGGGAGCCACAGAAGCAGUGACAGGGAGCCCCCCGGCCGGGAGGAAGCGGGAUUCCUGGACCAGGGCCUCUUUUUACCCUGGGACAACCCUGCCUGACUCAGCCACCACCCUGGGAAGCAUCCAGAAUUCCUCGGAACCAAAGGCCGUGGCCUCAGCCAGGAAGACCUUGGGGACAGGAUGGAUGCUCGAAGGACCUGGAUUCCUGCCUCCAGCUCCAGCCUGGGAUUCCCAGGACGAGGGUCCCCGAGGGAAACAACUUUUCGGAGCAGCGUGGACAUGGUGAGGGCGUGGGCAGCUGGGCCGUUCUUCAGGGGAGGGGUGUGCUCUAGGGGGCACACCGCCCAGCCUCCCCCUUCCCCAGGGACAGGGCACAGUGACCGGCGGGGGAGGGGAGGGCGGAAGUGGCAGAAGCAGUCCCUGCUCAGGGCCGGACCCCUGUCACCGUGCUCAGACAAGUCACGUGGCUCAGAGGCCUGAGGCUUUCAGGAAACGGUCGGGACUUCUGGAGCCAUGACUGGCCAUGUGGAUGCUCCCUUCUGCCCAGCAACUCCUGCUUCCUGCUCACUUUGGUUUGGUGGGACAGCAGACAGAUCUUUGUUCUGGAAGCUCCUGACACAGACGAGGAAGCUGUGUGUGCCUGGGGAGGCCGGCGGCAGCCGCCACACACCUGC
ensembl:lncRNA